rnacentral:rRNA from 1 species
AUUGAACGCUGGCGGCAGGCCUAACACAUGCAAGUCGAGCGGAUGAAGGGAGCUUGCUCCUGGAUUCAGCGGCGGACGGGUGAGUAAUGCCUAGGAAUCUGCCUGGUAGUGGGGGAUAACGUCCGGAAACGGGCGCUAAUACCGCAUACGUCCUGAGGGAGAAAGUGGGGGAUCUUCGGACCUCACGCUAUCAGAUGGGCCUAGGUCGGAUUAGCUAGUUGGUGGGGUAAAGGCCUACCAAGGCGACGAUCCGUAACUGGUCUGAGAGGAUGAUCAGUCACACUGGAACUGAGACACGGUCCAGACUCCUACGGGAGGCAGCAGUGGGGAAUAUUGGACAAUGGGCGAAAGCCUGAUCCAGCCAUGCCGCGUGUGUGAAGAAGGUCUUCGGAUUGUAAGGCACUUUAAGUUGGGAGGAAGGGCAGUAAGUUAAUACCUUGCUGUUUUGACGUUACCAACAGAAUAAGCACCGGCUAACUUCGUG